GACGAACGCUGGCGGCGUGCCUAAUACAUGCAAGUUGAGCGAUGAAGAUUGGUGCUUGCACCAAUUUGAAGAGCAGCGAACGGGUGAGUAACGCGUGGGGAAUCUGCCUUUGAGCGGGGGACAACAUUUGGAAACGAAUGCUAAUACCGCAUAACAACUUUAAACAUAAGUUUUAAGUUUGAAAGAUGCAAUUGCAUCACUCAAAGAUGAUCCCGCGUUGUAUUAGCUAGUUGGUGAGGUAAAGGCUCACCAAGGCGAUGAUACAUAGCCGACCUGAGAGGGUGAUCGGCCACAUUGGGACUGAGACACGGCCCAAACUCCUACGGGAGGCAGCAGUAGGGAAUCUUCGGCAAUGGAGGAAAGUCUGGCCGAGCAACGCCGCGUGAGUGAAGAAGGUUUUCGGAUCGUAAAACUCUGUUGGUAGAGAAGAACGUUGGUGAGAGUGGAAAGCUCAUCAAGUGACGGUAACUACCCAGAAAGGGACGGCUAACUACGUG
rnacentral:rRNA from 1 species